rnacentral:rRNA from 1 species
GAUGAACGCUGGCGGCGUGCUUAACACAUGCAAGUCGAACGAAGCACUUUAUUUGAUUUCCUUCGGGACUGAUUAUUUUGUGACUGAGUGGCGGACGGGUGAGUAACGCGUGGGUAACCUGCCUUGUACAGGGGGAUAACAGUUGGAAACGGCUGCUAAUACCGCAUAAGCGCACGGCAUCGCAUGAUGCAGUGUGAAAAACUCCGGUGGUAUAAGAUGGACCCGCGUUGGAUUAGCUAGUUGGUGAGGUAACGGCCCACCAAGGCGACGAUCCAUAGCCGACCUGAGAGGGUGACCGGCCACAUUGGGACUGAGACACGGCCCAAACUCCUACGGGAGGCAGCAGUGGGGAAUAUUGCACAAUGGGCGAAAGCCUGAUGCAGCGACGCCGCGUGAGCGAAGAAGUAUUUCGGUAUGUAAAGCUCUAUCAGCAGGGAAGAUAAUGACGGUACCUGACUAGGAAGCACCGGCUAAAUACGUG